GUCCCCUGCUGGCGGCAGAAACAGUUAAGAAGCCAGGUCCCGGAUCCUCGCAGGUAAGGUGAGGGGUGGUUCCUCGCUCUGCUCCCCUGCACGGCACUGUGUCAGCAUCAUCAUGGAAUCAUCGUGGAACAGCUUGGGUGGGAAGGGACCCUACAGCCCCCCCAGUGCCACCCCCUACCCUGGGCAGGGACACUUCCCACCAGAGCAGGUUGCUCCAAGCCCCAUCCAACCUGCCCUUGAACCCCUCCAGGGAUGGGGCAGCCAACAACAGUGUCUACGCCGAGUCCUGGACCAAGGCUGCUGCCGAAUGGCGGAACCGGGGGGCUCGUGUCCCCCAGCCACCGGCACUGCGGACGGAGCAUGCGGUGGCCCUCCUGGUGUACACCCUGCAUGGAGGAUUUUACCAGACCUUCAACGGGGCCGUGUGUGAGGCCGGGCGCUCCCGCAGGGAAUACCUGGACAAAUUCCAGUUCAAGGUGCUGCAUUUCCUCAUGACCCAGGCCCUGAACAUCCUGCAGAACGCCCAGUCCCGCCGCUGCCACCAGGUCUACCGGGGUGUCCAGGGCAUCCGCUUCACCGCCCGGCGCCAAGAUCUCGUCCGCUUCGGCCAAUUCACCUCCACCUCCCUCCGGAACAAGAGUGCCCUGGACUUUGGGCAGGACACCUUCUUCUCGGUCUACACCUGCUACGGCGUCCCCAUCAGGGACUUCUCCUUCUACUCUGACGAGGAUGAGGUCCUCAUCCCACCCUUUGAGAGAUUCAAGGUCACCAACAUCACCAACACGGGGACAGAGCCUGCAUCCAGCUCCACUCCCAGGACACAUUCAGCACCUACAACUGUGAAUGGCUGAAAGGUGACAUCCCCCGUGAUGGUCCCUCCAUCCCCUGGGAGGGUCCCUCGAUCUUCAGGAUGGUCCCUCUAACUCCCAGUACAUUGCCUACAUCCCCUGGGAUGAUUCCUCCAUCCCCUGGGAUGGUCCCUCCUCCCCCAGAAUGGUCCUUCCAUCCUCUGAAAUGGUCCCUCCAUCCCCUGGGACGGUCCCUCCAUCAUUCUGGAAUGGUCUCUCCAUCCUCAGAACAUCACUCCAUCCUCUGGAUGGUGCCUCCAUCGCCCAGAAUGGUUCACUCAUGCCCCAGGACGGUCCCUCCAUCCCCAGGAACGGUCCCUCCAUCCUUGGGAUGGUUGCUCCAUCCUCCAAGAUGGUCUCUCCAACCCCUGGGAUGGUCUCUCCAUUGCCUGGGACAGUCCCUCCAUCCUCUGAGUCAGUCACUCCAUUCCUUGGAAUGGUUCCUCUGUUCCCUGGGACAUUCCCUUCAUCCUCAGGAUGGACCCACCAUCCCUCAGGACAGUCUCUCCAUCCUUGGGAUGGACCCUCCAUCCCUGUGGAUGGUCACUCCAUUCCUUGGGUCAGUCCAUCCAUCCCCUGGAACGGUCCCUUCCCACCACCAGCUGCAGGGGACAGAGGAAGGGAGUUGCCCCAUCCCACCAGCUCUGCUGGGAGAGGGGGACCUCAAUUGUGGGGAGGGGGACGGGGGGAGCUUAUCUUCAGCUGGGCGUCCUUGCACAUCUCCCACCCGUUCUCCCCAGGGUUUGCACUGGGGGCCCUUGGUGGCACGGCACAGCGUGUCACGGGGCAGGAAGAGCAUGGCACAGCAUGGCAUGGUAUGGCGUGGUGGGGGGCAUCAGGGCACAGCACAGCAUGGCACAAGACAGCUUGGCAUGUUACGGCAUGGCAUGGCAUGGGACACCACAGCAUGACAUUACAUGGUACAGCGUAGCGUGGCACGGCACAGAAUGGGACGGCAGAGCGUGGCACGGCUCGGCUGGUGAAACCUGGGCAGCAGCACAUUAAAAGGAACUCAUCUGGGUCUGGAGGAGAAAGAGGAAGAGGUGGGGGGUGGACAGACACAACUGGAGGAAACCAUCUAGAAUAAAUAGAGGAAAACAUCGAGAUUAAACA
rnacentral:lncRNA from 1 species